UUUGCAUGGCUAGAAAUAGGGUGGACCCCACUUCCGAACAGUUACCAUACAAAGUAAAUUUUUUGUUUCGUUUCAACAGAAAUUACAAUUUUCAGCGUGUCGUGAAGUUGCCAAGUCUGCGCGAAGUUUCAAUUUCGAUAUAUGUAUAGGGAAUUUAGUCUAUUCAAAAUAGCAGUUGACCUAUGUAAAAAUUAGGGAGUGCGAUUUUCUUUUUCUAAACUUAAGGAGCUUGGGCGAGGGGAAGGCGCAAACCGUGACUUUCGGGUCAAUUCCUCCCAUUGCGUUCGCCGCCAUCUUGAUUUUAAGGGUGUUCCAUUGUUUUUCGUUAAACCCAGUAUUUAUGAAAUUUAGUGAUCAUAGAAAUAGAUUGUACAUUUCAUUAUACUCAUGUAUGUACUACAAAUAGAUUUUCGGUAAUUAUUUACGAGUGGGGUCCGCGCUAUUUUAGCCGUAAAAAAUCGAAAAAUCCACAUUGUAUCAUUCAUUCAUUGUGUCAGUGAAGCAUUCUCGUAACACUCUCUCGUAGAUAACUCGCUUAGUUCCAACUGUAGAGUGAAAAUGAUGAUCAAAGUUGCCGAAAAUGUAAUUCCUCACAAGUUUGGUGGUUAUCAUUUUUACCUUUUAUAGGAUCAAUAUUUCCAGAGUUUGACUGCUAACGGUGGAAAAAACGUUUUUCUUCAAUUAUCUCGCCUAGUAUCAAUUUCAUCGCAAAAAUGGUAAUCAAUAAUCAAGUAGGAAAUUCUAUUUCACGAAACUUUGAUUGUUACUAUUUUCACUCUUGGAUAUAUAUCUCUGCUAGGAUCAAUAUUUUCAGAGUCAUACUUUCACAGAGCAGACCGGAGUUAGUUCGCCAUAUUUUUUUUAAAUUGCUUGUAUAGUUAUUUCUAUUACUUUUCCAAAUUAUCUACACAGGUUCGCCACUCUUUAUUUUCACGCAAUAAAUGGUAAUAAAUAAAAUACGAGCUUCGAAAGCAAGACAGUGAUAAUAUUAUUAGGAUUGAUGAUAUUUUCAUGUUCACGUUAAUAAUCGCCUAAAGUUCGUCGUUUAAUCAUAGAUAUUUAAUAUUGUUCUGCUGCCCGUUGAAUGGACAUUCCGUUUUUCAUAGUGUCAAUAUAGGUAUAGCCUUACUGAUUUGAUCCAUAUUAUAAAUAUUUCUAGUAGUCCAUUGUGCAGGUUGGAAACUAUAAGAAAACGACUACUAGAAACAUUUACAACUCGCUCUUAGCUCUAAAAGUGUUUAUCUAGAUUUUUGUCUUGUACGAAAUUCAUGAAUAAAAAAAAAUUAAGUAGUUGGAUACUAUUAAUCCUAAAAGCAACUUGUCAGUACGGACCAAUGUAUGUGCAAACCGUAUCAAAAGUACAUUUCAAUCGAUUAAAACACGAAAUAAGCGACUAUAAAACAUAUUUUGAAAUUGUUUUGACCGGUGAACUCGCCCCGAAAAACAAGUGGGUAACCAAAUCGUUAGAGAAAGGGUAUCUCUUGAAUGUAUUCGUUACACACCCUACAAUUUUAUCAUUUAUACGCCUGAAAAAAACGACUAACGGAGAUUAAAAAUUUUACUUAUGCAAAAAAAUCGACGUUUCUCAAUAAAAACAUUUACAGCUUCGAAAAGCUACCUGCAAAUCAAACAUUACUCCCGUGACAGAGAGGGGGAAAGACUACGAAUAAAACCGUUGAGAAUUGCGGUCACUCAGCGCUUACAAUUAGUUUUCGAAAUCCAGCGCGCUGUCGAACUAGCCCCGCUCUCCUCUAAUUUACUGAAAAAAAAUUACCUCUCAUUGGGCUGUUAGCCCUUAUAUUAUACAUAUACGGCCAGAAUAUGGUCGAUCAGGUUGAUACAGGUCGAUACACGGUAUAAUUCGAUACAAUUCCAAAGCCAGAAUUUAGUGUAAAAAAGCGGAGCAAAGGGACGGGGGGCAUUCUGCUCUAAAUGGUUCAAUCUACGUUAUGAUUAAUCGUCCAUCGCGGCUUGCCGGUGCAACGAACUAAAGUUCCGAUGUACGGCAGUUCUUCAGUUCAUAUGCAUUUUUCAAAGCGAUCAGUCAAUAACCGACUCGCGAUGAGUUCUAAAACAAAGUCGAUAACCUCAGGUGCAAAAAAGCAUCGCCGAGUACAUUAACUUUUCCAAAUCAAUCGCCACCAAGAAGUCGUUCGUCAAGAGAAUAACCUUAAAAUGGAGUUCUCGAGAGAUGAAAAGAAUCCAAAUCAAUCAUUGGCCAAGUACAUGUAAUUAAUUUUAUGUUGUAUCGUCGUUCGGGGAUAAGGUAAAGUGGACCGUGCCAGAGGUGAAAAUAAUUCCCACACGUUGUUGAUAGGUGAUGAACAGUAAGAACAGCGAUGGUUUAUUAAUAAUAAAAGACUGUAGUGCAGGUUAUUCCGGCACUACGCUCAGUAUCUCGUCAGUAACGGAGUAAAACCACAGAAUAGGGCAGUCUUUAAUCUGUGGUAACACUCCACGCGGCCCCAUUUCGGGGUUUAUUUAAGUGGUAACAAUUGCUCAGUCAAGGCUGCGCAAUGUUGGCCGAUGCCGAUGCCGCGCAUCAGUCUCGCCCCAACUGCAUUCAAAAGGACGGGCGCCCUACCGAGUAUGUUUACUGCGACGGGAGCUCAUUGUCAGAAAUGGAAUGGGGAUUCGCGUUUUAUCAAUAAGCUUCCACGCUGCUGAUAUGACGGCAAAUGUAAAAUAACUGUCGUUAUAUCUAUGGAGGGUAGAAGUAAGGAGGACUAUCUCAAUGUGUUAAAAAGUGUCCGUUAAAAGUGAGUAAAUUAAGGUGGCCCUGUAGUAGCAAGUGGAAGAAUUUUAAAAGGAGCGCCACAAAUUAUUAGAGUGGCAUACUAAACUAAAAAAGGAUAGAAAAAUUUCCGCUUUGUUGCAGCGCAUUUUUUUUAAUUAUUAUAACACGCAGACAAACAUGAAUAUGAAAUAAAAUUAUACAGUAUUUUUAAGUACCCCAACUAGUCGUAAUUAGCAAAUAGAAAAUAGUACUAAAUAAUAACCAAAAUUAAAAAAAAAAAUUAUUAAAAUUGUAACAAGCAAAUUUCUUCUCUCUAUAUAAUAAAAAAGUCUUGAGACAAAUAAUCAUAAUAUUCUGAAACUAUAAUUAUAAUAAUAACGAAAAAACAGAAUGCAUUUUUUUGUCGGACAGAUUCUAUUAAAGUUAUGAGAAUUGUACCGCAUUUUUGUUGGUAAACAGUUUUCAACAACCAAUCAAAGUUAAUCAAAAUGUACUACAGCCAUUGGGUAAAAAUUUGGUUGUAAUACCAUAGUAAUAAACAAAGAACAAAAUGAAAAAAUGAAAGUUUAUUAGAAAUAAAUUCAUUCUACAACAAAUUAUGAAGAAGCAAGUUCGUGUAACCUGCAUACAUCAGUAUGAGCUGAAAAAACGACGGAUGGGAUUUCAUCCUAUGCGAGCGGGCGGAACUCGUGGAAAAGAGAGAGGAAGAGAAAGAAACGGAGGUGAGAGUGAAGGUGAAGAAAGAAAUAGAGGAAGAAGGAAAGGAAAAAAAUAAGAAGAGAAGAAAGAAUAAAAAAUAUAAGAAAUGAAGGAAAAUGGAGAGCAGAAAAAUAUAAAAAGAAGAAAGAAUAAGAAAUAAAAGAAAAUAAUGUUCACUUAUAAAUUAUCAAAGAAGAUAAAUAAAUAAAAAAAAUUAGAAUGUAAUAAAAACAAUUACGAUUAAAUUCAUAACGGUUAUGUGCUGCAUUAUUCACAAUUUUAUAAAUAACAUAUGAAAGAUCAGUAAUACUCAAAAUUUGCCCUUGAUUGAUCGAUCUGAACUAUGCGAACAUCAAAUGUUGCUUCAAAUUUCGAGACUGACAGAGCAAACAUAGGUUUGCUCUUGCAUAAGAAAUCUUCUUCAAACAGAAAUAGAAUUCAUUACGACAAAGCGAGCGCGAAACCCGAGCAUGAGGCGCGGUGAAAAAAUGAUAAAGAGGUUUCAUAAUUAUUAUCCAAAUGUAGAAGUCACCGAAGCGGGUCUUACAAUAUUAUAUUACAAUAAUACAAUAUAUUAAAAUAUCAAUAAA